UACGUAGGGGGCAAGCGUUGUCCGGAUUUAUUGGGCGUAAAGAGCGUGUAGGCGGCCAUACAGGUCAGCUGUGAAAACUCGAGGCUCAACCUCGAGCUGUCGGUGGAAACCGUGUGGCUAGAGUCCGGAAGAGGAGAGUGGAAUUCCCGGUGUAGCGGUGAAAUGCGCAGAUAUCGGGAAGAACACCCGUGGCGAAGGCGGCUCUCUGGGACGGUACUGACGCUGAGACGCGAAAGCGUGGGGAGCGAACAGG
rnacentral:rRNA from 1 species